GGGAACAAUGUUCAUGUUGAUCACUUCUCCAAAAUAAUCACUUAAGUCAUACUUAUUCAAAUAGACCCUAGAAACCUCUUUUGCUUAGGCUUUUAAAAGGUAUUUCAUAAAAUGUUUGCAUGUCAAAACUUCCUACAGCAAAGUUGUAGCAAAUUUUAUAAGGAACAAAAGUUGUUUUAUGGCCAUCUCAUGAAAAUGAUCACAAAUAGCUCAAACGUGGCCCACAAGGCAGAUUUGGGGCU
rnacentral:lncRNA from 1 species